rnacentral:rRNA from 1 species
GAACGAACGCUGGCGGCGUGCCUAACACAUGCAAGUCGUGCGAGAAAGUUCCUUCGGGAGCGAGUAAAGCGGCGCACGGGUGAAGUAACACGUAGGUAACCUGCCCCCCAGUCUGGAACAACUAGAGGAAACUCUAGCUAAUGCCGGAUGAGACCACGAUCCCUUCGGGGGUUGCGGCAAAGAUGGCCUCUACUUGUAAGCUAUCGCUGAGGGAUGGGCCUGCGGGCCAUUAGCUUGUUGGUGAGGUAACGGCUCACCAAGGCUGUGAUGGCUAGCUGGUCUGAGAGGAUGACCAGCCACACUGGGACUGAGACACGGCCCAGACUCCUACGGGAGGCAGCAGUGGGGAAUAUUGCGCAAUGGGCGAAAGCCUGACGCAGCGACGCCGCGUGAGUGAUGAAGGCCUUCGGGUCGUAAAGCUCUGUCGUAUGGGAAUAACACAAUGAAUGUACCAUGCAAGAAAGGAUCGGCUAACUUCGUG